GCCUUCGUGGUGUAAUGGUCAGCACACUCGGCGAAGAUUCGAGAGGUCAGAGGUUCGAGUCCCGGCGAGGGCA
rnacentral:tRNA from 1 species